GAUCAUGGCUCAGGACGAACGCUGGCGGCGUGCUUAACACAUGCAAGUCGAACGAGAAUCUAUUGAAGGAGUUUUUCGGACAACGGAUAUAGAGGAAAGUGGCGGACGGGUGAGUAACGCGUGAGGAACCUGCCUUUCAGAGGGGGACAACAGUUGGAAACGACUGCUAAUACCGCAUGACACAUAGGUGUCGCAUGGCACUUAUGUCAAAGAUUUUAUCGCUGAAAGGAUGG
rnacentral:rRNA from 1 species